UACGGGGGGAGCAAGCGUUGUUCGGAUUUACUGGGCGUAAAGGGCGCGUAGGCGGUAGCACAAGUCAGUUGUGAAAUCUCCGGGCUUAACUCGGAAAGGUCAACUGAUACUGUGCGACUAGAGUGCAGAAGGGGCAACUGGAAUUCUCGGUGUAGCGGUGAAAUGCGCAGAUAUCAGGAGGAACACCGGUGGCGAAGGCGGGUCUCUGGGCCGUAACUGACGCUGAGGAGCGAAAGCAUGGGGAGCGAACAGG
rnacentral:rRNA from 1 species